rnacentral:rRNA from 1 species
AAUAUUGGACAAUGGGCGCAAGCCUGAUCCAGCCAUGCCGCGUGUGUGAAGAAGGUCUUCGGAUUGUAAAGCACUUUAUUUUGGGAGGAAGGGCAGUUAACGAAUACUUAACUGUGUUUACGUUACCAAAAGAAUAAGCACCGGCUUACUUCGUGCCAGCAGCCGCGGGAAUACGAAGGGUGCAAGCGUUAAUCGGAAUUACUGGGCGUAAAGCGCGCGUAGGUGGUUUGUCAAGUUGGAAGUGAAAGCCCCGGGCUCAACCUGGGAACUGCUUUCAAAACUGGCAAGCUAGAGUAUGGCAGAGGGUGGUGGGAUUUCCUGUGUAGCGGUGAAAUGCGUAGAUAUAGGAAGGAACAUCAGUGGCGAAGGCGACCACCUGGGCUAAUACUGACACUGAGGUGCGAAAGCGUGGGGAGCAAACAGG